rnacentral:rRNA from 1 species
AUACGUAGGUGGCAAGCGUUGUCCGGAAUUAUUGGGCGUAAAGCGCAUGUAGGCGGUAAUUUAAGUCUGUCGUGAAACUGCGGGGCUCAGCCCCGUAUGGCGAUGGAAACUGGGUUACUUGAGUGCAGGAGAGGAAAGGGGAACUCCCAGUGUAGCGGUGAAAUGCGUAGAUAUUGGGAAGAACACCGGUGGCGAAGGCGCUUUUCUGGACUGUGUCUGACGCUGAGAUGCGAAAGCCAGGGUAGCGAACGGGAUUAGAUACCCCGGUAGUCCUGGCCGUAAACGAUGGGUACUAGGUGUGGGAGGUAUCGACCCCUUCCGUGCCGGAGUUAACGCAAUAAGUACCCCGCCUGGGGAGUACGGCCGCAAGGCUUAAACUCAAAGGAAUUGACGGGG